UUUGAGGGUAAUGGACCUUGCAAAUCUACUGCUUUCAAGCUUAUCUCUGUAACCUUGCCAUAUGAGUUGCAAUGGACCCCAAACCAGUUGCAUGAACUUGGUUCUGAAGGAUUCCAUGAAUUGAGUACAUCUGAGGAGCUGUGCAAACUCUUCUUCCAUGUCAAAAGAGCUUGUCCUUGUUCAUCAAUGGAGUCACAAGAACGAAAGAAAAUAGAGUUUAUUGAUAGAAAGAAGGUGAGGGA
rnacentral:misc_RNA from 1 species